rnacentral:lncRNA from 1 species
GCCUCAUCUCUGCUAUUCUUUCUUCUUAUCUAAUCCUUGAUCUCUGGUCUAUCAUGAAUUCAAACAUGUCUAUCUAUGAAUUUCAUAGACCUACGGGCACACAUCUCGAACCACCAAAAUCUUCAAAGCCUAUCAUAGCAUCUAGUUUUGAGAUAGACCCCGAAUACAUAGAAUUUGUUCAAAAACAACCUUUCUUAGGAGAAGGUGAGGAAAACCCAUACACACACCUA